CAGCCGCCGCGGUAAUACGUAGGGUGCAAGCGUUAAUCGGAAUUACUAUGCGUAAAGCGUGCGCAGGCGGUUUUGUAAGACAGAGGUGAAAUCCCCGGGCUCAACCUGGGAACUGCCUUUGUGACUGCAAGGCUAGAGUACGGCAGAGGGGGAUGGAAUUCCGCGUGUAGCAGUGAAAUGCGUAGAUAUGCGGAGGAACACCGAUGGCGAAGGCAAUCCCCUGGGCCUGUACUGACGCUCAUGCACGAAAGCGUGGGGAGCAAACAGGAUUAGAUACCCCGGUAGUCCCUGUCUCUUAUAC
rnacentral:rRNA from 1 species